UGGUAUCCGUUCGCCACAACGAAGAGAUAAUGUGGUAUCCGUUUGCCACAACGAAGAGAUAAUGUGGUUUAUAUGCACAUAGUGGAAUGAAAUAAUUAUAAGAGAUAUAUGAAAGUUUUAUUAUGUUUGAUUAAAGAUAUUUUGUUUUGAUGAAAUCCAUGUGUGAGAUUUGAUUGUUAUUAUUUUAUGAUUUAAGUAUAAUGCAAUUUCUCGUUUGAGUUGUACCAUUGAUGAGAUAUAGUUUUUUUUUAUAUACUUUGUUGUUAGUUAACCAACACUUAGAGAACUACGUGGCUCUGAUUCCCUAAUUGUUUAGGGAUACGUAGGACCAGGAGUCCUCCCUGUCGAGCUAUAGUUUCAGUAACUCUAUAUUUUAACUAAGUACAUUUAUAUAGUGUAUAAUGUAUUAGGCUUGCCAGGCUAAAUACAGGGUUAGUUAGAGGUGGCCUGUGCGCCGGUCAUGACCAGGGAUUGGGUCGUGACAAUGGUAGCCUUAACUAUUGAUUGAUCACACUCUUUGUGUUUCCCUUGAAUGUUCUUGAUUUAUAAUAACUCCUCAAUUGUGAUGAUGUUAGCAUAUGAGGAGAGAUAAGGAUAAUUAAUGCAUAAAUUCUGCCUUUUUCUAAUUGUCUCCUCUGUUUUAUUUUCCAUCUUUUCCAAGAAUGGUUCUUCAAUGAAACGGUUGUUUCUCUUAUACCUAAAGUCUCACAUAUUUAAAUGUGGAGAAGUGUAGAAUCCGGGGUUCGAACCCCUGUCAUUCCAAUAAUAUCUCUAAUAGCUAUAAUUUGAGCUACACUUAUGGGACUUAUACUACUCUAUCCUGUCACUAUUUAACUUUUUUGGUAUAUUAAAAAAAAUCAUGUUAAACAGUGCCCUCGAGACACUUGUUAAGCAUAAGGAAAUAAAAGAGAAAAUUAAUAUUAUG
rnacentral:lncRNA from 1 species